rnacentral:rRNA from 1 species
UACGUAGGGUGCAAGCGUUAAUCGGAAUUACUGGGCGUAAAGCGUGCGCAGGCGGCUAUGCAAGACAGAUGUGAAAUCCCCGGGCUCAACCUGGGAACUGCAUUUGUGACUGCAUGGCUAGAGUACGGUAGAGGGGGAUGGAAUUCCGCGUAUAGCAGUGAAAUGCGUAGAUAUGCGGAGGAACACCGAUGGCGAAGGCAAUCCCCUGGACCUGUACUGACGCUCAUGCACGAAAGCGUGGGGAGCAAACAGG